rnacentral:rRNA from 1 species
UACGUAGGGUGCGAGCGUUGUCCGGAAUUAUUGGGCGUAAAGAGCUCGUAGGCGGUCUGUCGCGUCGAUCGUGAAAACUUGGGGCUUAACCCUGAGCUUGCGGUCGAUACGGGCAUGACUGGAGUUCGGCAGGGGAGACUGGAAUUCCUGGUGUAGCGGUGAAAUGCGCAGAUAUCAGGAGGAACACCGGUGGCUAAGGCGGGUCUCUGGGCCGAUACUGACGCUGAGGAGCGAAAGCGUGGGGAGCGAACAGG